AUUGAACGCUGGCGGCAUGCCUUACACAUGCAAGUCGAACGGCAGCACGGACUUCGGUCUGGUGGCGAGUGGCGAACGGGUGAGUAACAUAUCGGGACAUACCCUAGAGUGGGGGAUAACGUAGCGAAAGUUACGCUAAUACCGCAUACGAUCUAAGGAUGAAAGUGGGGGAUCUUCGGACCUCAUGCUCAUGGAGUGGCCGAUAUCUGAUUAGCUAGUUGGUGAGGUAAAGGCUCACCAAGGCGACGAUCAGUAGCUGGUUUGAGAGAACGACCAGCCACACUGGAACUGAGACACGGUCCAGACUCCUACGGGAGGCAGCAGUGGGGAAUUUUGGACAAUGGGGGCAACCCUGAUCCAGCAAUGCCGCGUGAGUGAAGAAGGCC
rnacentral:rRNA from 1 species